CUGUAACCUUGGAGGGGUGUAGAGUGUGUUGGUGGACCAGGUUAAACUAGGUCUGUAACCUUGGAGGGGUGUAGAGUGUGUUGGUGGACCAGGUCUGUAACCUUGGAGGGGGGUAGAGUGUGUUGGUGGACCAGGUUAAACUAGGUCUGUAACCUUGGAGGGGUGUAGAGUGUGUUGGUGGACCAGGUCUGUAACCUUGGAGGGGGGUAGAGUGUGUUGGUGGACCAGGUUAAACUAGGUCUGUAACCUUGGAGGGGGGUAGAGUGUGUUGGUGGACCAGGUCUGUAACCUUGGAGGGGGGUAGAGUGUGUUGGUGGACCAGGUCUGUAACCUUGGAGGGGGGUAGAGUGUGUUGGUGGACCAGGUUAAACUAGGUCUGUAACCUUGGAGGGGUGUAGAGUGUGUUGGUGGACCAGGUCUGUAACCUUGGAGGGGGG